rnacentral:rRNA from 1 species
UACAGAGGUCUCAAGCGUUGUUCGGAUUCAUUGGGCGUAAAGGGUGCGUAGGUGGCGCCGUAAGUCAGGUGUGAAAUUUCGGAGCUUAACUCCGAAACUGCAUUUGAUACUGCGGUGCUUGAGGACUGGAGAGGAGACUGGAAUUUACGGUGUAGCAGUGAAAUGCGUAGAGAUCGUAAGGAAGACCAGUGGCGAAGGCGGGUCUCUGGACAGUUCCUGACACUGGGGCACGAAGGCCAGGGGAGCAAACGGG